rnacentral:rRNA from 1 species
UGGUGGAGUGAUUUGUCUGGUUAAUUCCGUUAACGAACGAGACCCCUGCCUGCUAAAUAGUCAGCCUAGUGAUUUUCACUGAGCUUGGCUUCUUAGAGGGACGUGCAUUCGACUAGUUGCAGGAAGAUAGGGGCGAAUAACA